rnacentral:rRNA from 1 species
AUACGGAGGGUGCAAGCGUUGUUCGGAAUUACUGGGCGUAAAGCGCGUGUAGGCGGUCGGGCAAGUCGAAUGUGAAAUCCCCGGGCUCAACCCGGGAAUUGCAUCCGAAACUGCUUGGCUAGAGUCCCGGAGAGGAAGGCAGAAUUCCCAGUGUAGGGGUGAAAUCCGUAGAUAUUGGGAGGAAUACCAGUGGCGAAGGCGGCCUUCUGGACGGUGACUGACGCUGAGACGCGAAAGCGUGGGGAGCAAACAGGAUUAGAUACCCCGGUAGUCC